AACUGAUACUACCUGCGGGAACCUGCGGAAGGAUCAUUAACGAUUUCGGUGUAAAAAACCGUUUUCUACCUAUGUCUACGCGUACCACUUGUUUCCUCGGGGGGCUUGCCCCCCGCUAGGACCCUUUAUCAAACCUUUUUGUAAUAGCAGUCAGCGUCUGAUACUACGUUAAUUAUUAAAACUUUCAACAAUGGAUCUCU
rnacentral:misc_RNA from 1 species